AUAUGGGGUUUAAAGUUUGAAGCUUUUAGCCAUGGAGGGAUUGGUGAAGAAAUAUCAGCAAAGAUUUAGAAAAGUGAGAGGAUUAAUGGAGGAAUGGGAACAGCUUCAAUCUCGAUUAAUCUCUCAAUUUAGUAACGCUUCUGCUAUUACUGAGAGGUUAAAGGUGAUUGGAGAUUGUAAUAAUUAUGGUAAUUUGAAGAGUGUGGAUGGAAUUGUAGAUGCAGUGGUGAGAAAGCAGCUCGAGUCUUUGCAGACCAUUUUGCUUUCCAUGAAUAAGACUUUGGAAGAGUUUCGCGGUGUGGUUUUGACAAUUGAGAAGAUGUAUAGGGAUGGUAGACAGUUAGUUAAAGGGGGUGGAGGUUCUAAUCAGUUGAAUGCGAAACAAUUGCGGCAACGAAUUGGGAUUAAACCAUGUCUUGCUGACUGUCUAGAUGGGCUUAUGAUUCUUCAUGAAAUGCAUCAGGCUGAAUACCUGCUUAAAUCAUCAGUUGUUUCAGCACUUUCAGCACUCACCUUGAAACCCAGAUAUCUUCGUAUGUCUGCUAAUGACUUUACAAUCCAAGGGUUAUAAACAUACUGGCUUGGCUAUAUUGCAGUUCCAGUGAUCUUGGUGCGCUGCAACAACUCUUGAUUGAUCAGCCUAAUAUCCCCAAAGAGGAAGUACAAGUCGUCUUUGAAAUUAUUUUUGCGGAAGAGAUCUGUUAACUCCCUUUGUGGUUGCUGAUAAGAGUCUGUGUGGAAACCUGGUAGCAGCAUGUAGAUGGAGACACAGGAGUGAGUCUCCAUCUUCCUACUAAUAUAACUCGGCAUCUAUCAAAGCACAUGUGGAAUUCUCGAUCCACCGUCCCAGAGAAAACCACUCAAAAGCUUUCUUCUAGAGAUGCCUCUCCUACAAUUCAAAUGAUGAUAGAAGAUGCCGAUACACAAACGCAAACAAUUUUAUUUCUUGUAUUAGAAAUACGCUACCAUGGACGUGUUGUAUAUUUUUCCAAGGUCAGUAACCCAUGUGUGGGUGCAAGCUCAAGGCCAAGUUUUUCAA